CCCCCGCCCAAUAUCACUAUCGCGGCUGUCUUCGUGUGAUCUGGGGCCCGGGCUUUAGCACAGACCAGACGCUGCUGCUGCUGUCGCCGUGUGAUCCGAGGCCCGGGCUGAGCAGGUGCUGCUCCCCGGGUCUGUGCUGGGGGGGAUCCUGGUGUUAAUCUCUCCCUGCCCGGCCGGGGGGGGCUUUCUCCAGCUCGAACCCGCCCCCUGGGCAGCCCCAGGCCGGAGCCCCCCGCUUGUGCCAGAAUCCUGGGAGCAUUCCCCGGCUACGCCCAGUCACCGUGAUAACUUUCUAUCCACUUAUCAUACACUACAGGCUGCUGAACGAUGUCCAUGUUUCGCUCCAGCUCAUCCCAUCCUCCCGUGGGACAGGGGAGAGAAAUGGCUGCAGAGGAGCCAGUUCAGGGGCCGGUGACCUUCGAGGAGGUGGCUGUGUAUUUCACCA